rnacentral:rRNA from 1 species
UACGUAGGUGGCAAGCGUUAUCCGGAUUUAUUGGGCGUAAAGGGAACGCAGGCGGUCUUUUAAGUCUGAUGUGAAAGCCUUCGGCUUAACCGGAGUAGUGCAUUGGAAACUGGGAGACUUGAGUGCAGAAGAGGAGAGUGGAACUCCAUGUGUAGCGGUGAAAUGCGUAGAUAUAUGGAAGAACACCAGUGGCGAAAGCGGCUCUCUGGUCUGUAACUGACGCUGAGGUUCGAAAGCUUGGGUAGCAAACAGG